UGGGGAAUAUUGGACAAUGGGGGCAACCCUGAUCCAGCAAUGCCGCGUGUGUGAAGAAGGCCUGCGGGUUGUAAAGCACUUUCAGUAGAGAAGAAAAGCCUAAGGUUAAUAACCUUAAGUCUUGACGUAACCUACAGAAGAAGCACCGGCUAACUCCGUGCCAGCAGCCGCGGUAAUACGGAGGGUGCAAGCGUUAAUCGGAAUUACUGGGCGUAAAGCGCGCGUAGGUGGUUUUGUAAGUCGGAUGUGAAAGCCCUGGGCUCAACCUGGGAAUUGCAUUCGAUACUGCUUAACUAGAGUAUGGUAGAGGGAAGUGGAAUUUCCGGUGUAGCGGUGAAAUGCGUAGAUAUCGGAAGGAACACCAGUGGCGAAGGCGACUUCCUGGGCCAAUACUGACACUGAGGUGCGAAAGCGUGGGUAGCAAACAGGAUUAGAUACCCUGGUAGUCCACGCCGUAAACGAUGAGAACUAGAUGUUGGGAGGGUUGCCUCUCGGUGUCGCAGCUAACGCGUUAAGUUCUCCGCCUGGGGAGUACGCCGGCAACGGUA
rnacentral:rRNA from 1 species